rnacentral:rRNA from 1 species
ACGGAGGGUGCAAGCGUUAAUCGGAAUUACUGGGCGUAAAGCGCACGCAGGCGGUUUGUUAAGUCAGAUGUGAAAUCCCCGGGCUCAACCUGGGAACUGCAUCUGAUACUGGCAAGCUUGAGUCUCGUAGAGGGGGGUAGAAUUCCAGGUGGAGCGCCGAAAUGCGGAGAGAUGUGGCUGAAUGCCGGUGGCGAAGGCAGCAACCUGAACUAGGUCUGAUGCUCAGGUGGCAAACCGUGGAGAGCAAGCAG